rnacentral:rRNA from 1 species
ACCUGAUGCAGCCAUGCCGCGUGUGUGAAGAAGGCCUUCGGGUUGUAAAGCACUUUCAGUUGUGAGGAAAAGUUAGUAGUUAAUACCUGCUAGCCGUGACGUUAACAACAGAAGAAGCACCGGCUAACUCCGUGCCAGCAGCCGCGGUAAUACGGAGGGUGCGAGCGUUAAUCGGAAUUACUGGGCGUAAAGCGCACGCAGGCGGUUUGUUAAGCUAGAUGUGAAAGCCCCGGGCUCAACCUGGGAUGGUCAUUUAGAACUGGCAGACUAGAGUCUUGGAGAGGGGAGUGGAAUUCCAGGUGUAGCGGUGAAAUGCGUAGAUAUCUGGAGGAACAUCAGUGGCGAAGGCGACUCCCUGGCCAAAGACUGACGCUCAUGUGCGAAAGUGUGGGUAGCGAACAGGAUUAGAUACCCUGGUAGUCCACACCGUAAACGCUGUCUACUAGCUGUGUGUGCCUUUAAGGCGUGCGUAGCGAAGCUAACGCGCUAAGUAGACCGCCUGGGGAGUACGGCCGCAAGGUUAAAACUCA